rnacentral:rRNA from 1 species
CCUACGGGAGGCUGCAGUGGGGAAUAUUGGGCAAUGGGCGCAAGCCUGACCCAGCAACGCAGCGUGAAGGAAGAAGGCUUUCGGGUUGUACACUUCUUUUAUCAGGGACGAAGCAAGUGACGGUACCUGAUGAAUACGCCUCGGCUAACUACGUGCCAGCAGCCGCGGUAAUACGUAGGUGGCAAGCGUUAUCCGGAUUUACUGGGUGUAAAGGGCGUGUAGGCGGGAGUGCAAGUCAGAUGUGAAACCUAUGGGCUCAACCCAUAGACUGCAUUUGAAACUGUCCUUCUUGAGUGCUGUAGAGGCAAGCGGAAUGCCGUGUGUAGCGGUGAAAUGCGUAGAUAUACGGAGGAACACCAGUGGCGAAGGCGGAUUGCUAGACAGUAACUGACGCUGAGGCGCGAAAGCGUGGGGAGCAAACAGGAUUAGAUACCCGAGUAGUC